rnacentral:lncRNA from 10 species
UGGGAGGCUGAGGUGGGCUGGUCUCGAACUCUUGACUUCAGGUGAUCCACCCACCUCGGCCUCCCAAAGUGCUGGGAUUACAGGCGUUGAGCCAAAGUGCCUGACACACAGGAAUAAAUUAACGGCCCCUAGCUCACACCUUCCUCCAGGAGGGCGAAUUCACAGAUACCUUAACAUGAGGCAGAGGGAAGGAAUGAUCUCACAGACGUACAGACAAUCAGGGCCUCUGAGGAGGGUCAGGCUUCAAGGAAGAGGCAGUGCCUCUGAGAUGCUAGUCCAGGGGGAAGCACAUUAAGUGCAGAAACAGAGGACUGCUUUUAAUAUGCAACAUCC